rnacentral:rRNA from 1 species
AUUGAACGCUGGCGGCAUGCCUUACACAUGCAAGUCGAACGGCAGCAUGGAGAGCUUGCUCUCUGAUGGCGAGUGGCGAACGGGUGAGUAAAGCAUCGGAACGUACCGUGUAGUGGGGGAUAACGUAGCGAAAGUUACACUAAUACCGCAUACGCACUGAGGUGGAAAGCAGGGGAUCGCAAGACCUUGCGCUAUACGAGCGGCCGAUGUCCGAUUAGCUAGUUGGUAGGGUAAAGGCCUACCAAGGCGACGAUCUGUAGCGGGUCUGAGAGGAUGAUCCGCCACACUGGGACUGAGACACGGCCCAUACUCCUACGGGAGGCAGCAGUGGGGAAUUUUGGACAAUGGGGGCAACCCUGAUCCAGCCAUGCCGCGUGAGUGAAGAAGGCCUUCGGGUUGUAAAGCUCUUUCGGCCGGGAAGAAAUCGCACAGGCUAAUACUCUGUGUGGAUGACGGUACCGGCAUAAGAAGCACCGGCUAACUACGUGCCAGCAGCCGCCGUAA